rnacentral:rRNA from 1 species
AGCGAACGCUGGCGGCAGGCUUAACACAUGCAAGUCGAGCGGGCACUUUCGGGUGUCAGCGGCGGACGGGUGAGUAACGCGUGGGAGCGUGCCCUCUGGUUCGGAAUAACUCAGGGAAACUUGAGCUAAUACCGGAUACGCCCUUUUGGGGAAAGGCUUGCUGCCGGAGGAUCGGCCCGCGUCUGAUUAGCUAGUUGGUGAGGUAACGGCUCACCAAGGCGACGAUCAGUAGCUGGUCUGAGAGGAUGAUCAGCCACACUGGGACUGAGACACGGCCCAGACUCCUACGGGAGGCAGCAGUGGGGAAUAUUGGACAAUGGGCGCAAGCCUGAUCCAGCCAUGCCGCGUGAGUGAUCAAGGCCUUAGGGUUGUAAAGCUCUUUUAUCCGGGACGAUAAUGACGGUACCGGAGGAAUAAGCCCCGGCUAACUUCGUG